AUUGCAAGGAGAGCUGGGUGGGAAGGCAGGAGAAGGCCACUGAACAGCUGGGAAGCAACAGGGAAAUGGGUCCAACAACAUAAACAAGAGAAGAUAGAUCUCCCUUAGGCCUCGUCUAUUAGUCUUAUCAACCAUGCUGAUUGAGUCUCCAAACGAACAUGAACCAGGCAGCUGUUAAACCUCACUGAUCUAUUACUUGCAUGGAAACUUCACUGGAUAAAUAGCUGACAUCAGCCCAGGAGAAGGAAAACAGUUUGGAUCUCCAGGGUGUCCUCCCCAUGAUGAGCAGCAACCUGGAGCAUGUUCAGGACAGACCUCUGCAAAAGGACGCUGCUCAGUUCCUCAGAGGUUUCAAGCCCUGCUUGGGCUUUGGGGCAGGAUGCCAGAGGGGUAGGACACAGCAGAACCGGACAGAGGGACAUCUUCAUGAGAUUCAGUGACUGCAUAAAUCCUUCCUCUACUCAACCCAUGUCUUCGCUGCUGAUGUCCCACCCAUGGCAGCAGGUAACCUUGGAAAUUAUUAAGGACUGCCAACUAGGAUUUAAGGCUGCUCUCUUCUCAAGAUAAAGAAAUACUGCCCUUU